UUGAAUGAUGCAGGGACUUCACCAUCAACAGCAGCAACUAGCGGCGCUUCUCUCUGUUGCGCUUCCCAAGGACGAUUCCGGUAACUCCUCCGCCGGCGGUUCUAACUCCGACGACGAUGACUCCAGUAGACUCGCCGCCAUUAAUUCGCUUCACCGUGCCAUCAUUUACCCGUCGAACUCGCUCCUCGUCACUCACUCAGCCACUUUUCUUGCCCAGGGAUUCUCUCAGCUUCUCUCUGACAAGUCGUAUUCAGUGCGACAGGCUUCAGCUGUAGCAUACGGUGCUCUUUGUGCUGUGGUUUGCUCCAUCCCUUUAACAUCGAAUGGCAGACAGAACCAUGUUUUACUUGGAAGUUUGGUUGAUCGCUACAUUGGUUGGGCAUUGCCAUUGCUUAGCAAUGUUCUUGCUGGUGAUGGAACAACAGAAUUUGCAUUGGACAGCUUGAGGGAGUUUCUUAAUGUCGGAGACGCUGGUGGAAUUGAGAGAUAUGCUUUGCCAAUUCUCAAAGCAUGUCAAGUACUUCUUGAGGAUGAGAGGACCUCCUUGAAUUUAUUACACCCACUUCUAGGUGUUCUAACUCUGAUUUCAUUGAAGUUUUCAAGAACCUUCCAACCUCAUUUUCUUGAUAUUGUUGAUCUGCUUCUAGGGUGGGCAUUGGUACCAGACCUUGCUGAAUCCGAUAGACAAAUCAUUAUGGAUAGUUUUUUGCAAUUUCAGAAACAUUGGGUGGGUAAUUUGCAGUUUUCACUAGGUUUGCUGUCGAAGUUCUUAGGUGAUAUGGAUGCUUUGCUUCAGGAUGGAGGUCCUGGAACUCCACAGCAAUUUCGAAGGUUGCUUGCACUGCUUUCUUGUUUUUCAUCAGUUUUGCAGUCCACUGCUUCUGGGUUGCUGGAAAUGAAUUUACUUGAACAAAUAAGUGAACCGCUCAGCAGAAUGGUUCCUCGAUUGUUGGGAUGCUUAUCUACUGUUGGGCAGAAAUUUGGAUGGGCGGAAUGGAUUGGGGAUUCAUGGAAGUGUUUGACUCUCUUGGCAGAAAUAUUAUGCGAAAGAUUUUCCAACUUUUAUCCGCAUACAGUUGAUAUCUUAUUUCAAAGCUUGGAAACAGAGUGCACCAGCCAACCAAGAGGAGCUGGAAAGAUUACAUCCUUUCAAGUUCAUGGGGUUUUAAAAACUAAUCUCCAGUUACUAUCUCUGCAAAAAUUUGGCCUCCUUCCAUCAGUUGUGCUAAAAAUAUUGCAAUUUGAUGCACCAGCAUCUCUUCUGCGUCUUCAUCCAAAUCACUUAGUAACAGGAAGUUCUGCUGCCACAUAUGUUUUCUUACUUCAGCAUGGAAAUAAUGAAGUUGUCCAACAAGCAGUGACUUCACUGGCAGAGGAGCUGGAAUUUCUGAAGGGAAUGCUAGGAAAGAAUUUGGGUCAUGGAGAUGGGUUGAGUAGUAUUGGGUGUACAAAAUGCUAUUCAAAACCUGAACUGUAUGCACUCAUCAAAUUUGAUCUGGAGGUUUUGUUAACAUGUGUUUUAUUGGGUGGGGAUGGUAGUUUAAUUGGCCAACCAGAUGUUGCAACAUUAUGUCUUGAGAGGUCAGAAAAGUUGUUGUCAUUUAUUAUUGAGAAGCUUAAUCCUUUUGAUUUCCCUAUUCAGGCAUGUACAGAGUUGCAAGUCAAUGUUCUCAAGACAUUGGACAGGCUAACCACAGUUGAAUUCUGGAGCAAGUGCUCUAUAAGUAAUCAAAACGGUGGGCAUUCAGCUGUCAUUGUUGAGCAUCUGAAGAAGUAUAAUAUUCUUUUUGUUAAAGGUCUCCUUGUUUCUUCUCCCCUUGCAGUUAAAGUAGUAGUUCUCAGUUGGAUUCAAAGAUUCUGUGAGAAUGUUAUUUCUAUCUCUAAGAAAUCUAGCAGAGAAACUUGUUUCUAUGAAGCUUAUGGCUGUGUUGGGAUUAUUAAGAAUAUGGUUUCCUCAGUUUUGGAUGCUGCAUCUGACAGGGAGCCAAAAGUGAGGGCACAUGUUGCAUUAGUUAUGGAACUGCUACUACAGGCAAGGCUUGUACAUCCCAUGUACUUUUAUCCCAUAGCUAUAGUGGUCCUAGAAAAACUUGGUGAUCCAGAUAGUGAGAUAAAAUAUUCAUUUGUGAAGCUGCUCGCUCAAGUUUUGCCUACUACAAUGUAUGCAUCUGGUCUGUGUGAUUAUGGGACAUCUACUCUGUUCAGGACUUUUGAUCUUAGGUUGGGAGAUAAUUCUGAUUUGCAUUGGAAGCAAGUUUUUGCCUUGAAGCAGCUGAAUCAGAAACUUCAUGCACAACAACUUGUUUCCUUACUAAGUUUCAUUUCACAAAGAUGGAAGGUGCCUCUUUCUUCUUGGAUCCAACGGUUAAUUCAUUGCUGUUCAAAAGAAUCAGUCUUAAGUCAACUUGAAGAAACAGGAAGUUUUGUUGCCAAUGUUGUAUGGUUGGACAGCAAAGUGGAUGAAGAUAUUCUUGAAAAAAAUUGCUCAGUUAAUAAUCUGGCUGGUGCCUGGUGGGCUGUACAUGAAGCAGCUAGGUAUUGUAUUUCCACACGCCUUCGAACUAACCUGGGUGGGCCUACCCAGACUUUUGCGGCAUUAGAGAGAAUGCUUUUGGACGUUGCACACUUACUGCAGCUUGAUAGCGAGCAAAGUGAUAGCAACUUAAGUAUGAUAGGGGCUUCUGGUGCUCACUUGUUACCAAUGAGGUUAUUGUUGGAUUUUGUUGAAGCCCUAAAGAAAAAUGUUUAUAACGCUUAUGAGGGUUCUUCUGUUUUACCAUCAGCUACUCGCCCUAGUUCCUUGUUCUUUCGAGCUAACAAGAAAGUUUGUGAGGAGUGGUUUUCUCGGAUAUGUGAGCCAAUGAUGAAUGCUGGAUUGGCUCUACAAUGCCAUGAUGCUACAAUUCAAUACUGUACUCUGCGUUUGCAGGAGCUUAGGAACAUCGUGGCCUCUGCUUUAAAGGAAAAGUCUAGGGCCCAGUUAGCUGAUAACCUCCACAAUAUCAGGGGUAGAUUUUCUGCUGAUAUCUUGAGGGUUUUGCGUCACAUGGCAUUGGCUUUGUGCAAGAGUCAUGACUCUGAGGCUUUGGUUGGGUUACAAAAAUGGGUUUCAAUGACAUUUUCUGCCUUGUUUGGGGAGGAAUCUCUAAGUAAUAGUGGAACAUUGGGACCCUUUUCAUGGAUUACUGGGCUUGUAUAUCAGGCAGAAGGUCGGUAUGAAAAAGCUGCUGCUCACUUUAUUCACUUGCUACAGAGUGAGGAGUCACUUGGUUCUAUGGGAUCUGAUGGUGUACAGUUUGCCAUUUCACGUAUCAUUGAGAGUUAUAGUGCUGUGUGUGACUGGAAAUCUCUAGAAUCCUGGCUGGUAGACUUGCAAACACUUCGUGCUAAGCAUGCUGGGAAGGGUUAUUCUGGUGCUCUAACUACAACAGGCAAUGAAAUUAAUGCAAUCCAUGCCUUGGCACGUUAUGAUGAGGGUGAUUUUCAGGCAGCAUGGGCAUGCCUUGAUUUGACACCGAAAAGUAGCAGUGAGCUCACACUUGAUCCCAAACUGGCCUUGCAAAGGAGUGAGCAAAUGCUUUUACAGGCAAUGCUUCUUGAAAAUGCGGGCAUGGAAGAAAAGGUGCUACCUGAAUUACAUAAGGCCAGGUCAAUGCUGGAAGAAAUACUGUCUGUUUUGCCGCUUGAUGGGUUAGAGGAGGCAGCAGCAUACGCCACCCAGUUGCAUUGCAUUUUUGCUUUUGAGGAAGGUUAUAAGCUCAAAGGUGGCCAAACUGAAUCAGAACAAAUGCCAUCAAUUUUAAGUUCAUAUGUCCAAUCCAUGCAAUCCCCAAUAAGUAGAAUUUAUCAAGACUGUAACCCCUGGUUAAAACUUCUCCGGGUCUAUCAAGCCAUUUUCCCAACUUCUUCAGUUACUAUAAAGUUCUGUAUGAAUUUGUUGAAUUUAGCUCGUAAAAAAAGAAACCUUACAUUAGCACAUCGUUUGAACAGCUAUCUGAAGGAUCACAUGUCAAGUUGCUUAGAAGAAAAACCCCAUGAUUUCCUUGUUUCGUAUUUACAGUUUGAGGGCAUCAUGCUAAUGCAUGCUGAAAACAAAUUUGAAGAUGCUUUUACAAACCUUUGGUCGUUUGUGCGUCCUUGCAUGGUUUCUUCGGCAUCUGUAGUUUCUGAGGCUGAUGAAAGUUGUUUGAAGGCAAAAGCAUGCUUGAAACUCUCACGUUGGUUAAGACAGAAUUAUUCAGAAUUAAGGCUGGAUGUAAUCGUUCUCAAGAUGUGUUCAGACUUUGAUAGGGCUUAUUCUAAUUUUGGCAGAAGUAGACCCUCCUCCAGUGAUGAGAACCUAAGCUUUGGACCAUCUGUUGGUUCAGUUAUUGAGGAAAUUGUGGGUUCAGCUACAAAAUUGUCUACCCAGCUUUGUCCCACCAUGGGAAAAUCAUGGAUUUCUUAUGCUUUUUGGUGUUUUAAUCAAGCUAGAGACUCUCUCUUUAAUCCUCAUGAAAAUGUCCUUGAGGCAUGUUCAUUUUCUCCUAUUCUAGUCCCUGAAAUUCUACCUGGGAGAUUCAAGUUAACUGAAGAUGAGAUUGCAAGAGCGGAAUCUAUGAUUUCACAGAUCUUCCAGAACAAGGAUGGUGGUAACAGUUUUGUCGAUGAACGGGGAGAGCGGAAUUUGAGCAUUGACAAGCCUGUGAAGGCCUUGGUACAGCAAGUAGUGAAUAUUAUUGAAACUUCAGCUGGGGCACCUGGUACAGAAAACCUGGGUGAUGAAUGCUUAUCUGCUACUGUAGCUUCUCGGUUAAAGAUUUCUUUCCUAAGUACAAGUUUCAGCCUAAAUGAAUCUGAGAUAUUGGCUGUAGUUGAUGAAUUACUAAGUCUUUGGUUGCAUUUGAGGAGGAGAAGGGUGUCCCUCUUUGGGCAUGCAGCUCAUGGCUUUGUACAAUAUCUUUCAUAUUCAUAUACAAAGAUUUGUGAUAAUCACUUGGCUGGCUUUGAUUGUGAGUCAUUGAAACAGAAAACUGGCAGCUAUACCCUAAGGGCUACAUUGUAUGUCCUGCAUAUUCUUCUCAACUAUGGGGCAGAGUUAAAAGAGACACUGGAACCUGAUCUUUCGACUGUUCCUCUAUCACCAUGGCAGGAAGUGACACCACAAUUAUUUGCUCGGCUAACUUCUCAUCCUGAGCAAACCGUACGGAAUCAGUUGGAGGGCUUACUGAUGAUGCUGGCUAAGCAAUCUCCUUCACCCGUUGUUUAUCCUACCCUAGUUGAUGUGAAUGCUAAUGAAGAGAAGCCUGCAGAGGAGCUCCAACAUAUACUAAGUUGUCUGAGUAAACUUUAUCCAAGAUUGGUUCAGGAUGUUCAGCUUAUGAUAAAUGAGCUGGGAAAUGUUACUGUUCUUUGGGAGGAGCUAUGGCUCAGCACGCUUCAAGAUCUUCACACAGAUGUGAUGAGGCGGAUAAAUGUGCUGAAAGAGGAAGCUGCACGAAUUGCGGACAAUGCCACUCUUAGCUUGAGUGAGAAGAACAAGAUAAAUGCUGCUAAAUACUCUGCUAUGAUGGCUCCUAUUGUUGUGGCGUUGGAACGGCGUAUGGCUUCGACAUCUCGAAAACCUGAAACUCCUCAUGAAUUAUGGUUCCACGAGGAAUAUAGAGAACAAUUGAAAUCAGCCAUCUUAGCCUUCAAGACACCUCCUACAUCUGCUGCAUCACUUGGUGAUGUGUGGCGGCCAUUUGAUAAUAUUGCUCAAUCCUUAGCAUCUUACCAAAGGAAGUCAUCAAUAUCUUUGAGGGAAGUCGCACCACGACUAGCUAUGUUAUCAUCUUCUGACGUACCAAUGCCUGGUCUUGAGAAACAUGAAACAAUAUCUGAAUCUGACAGAAGCAUUGGUAGUCUCCAGGGAAUUGUCACAAUUGCUUCUUUCUUUGAGCAAGUGGCUAUCUUAUCAACCAAGACAAAACCCAAGAAACUUGUUAUACUGGGUUCUGAUGGUCAAAAGUACACAUAUCUCUUAAAAGGCAGGGAAGAUCUACGUCUUGAUGCCAGAAUCAUGCAGCUGUUGCAAGCUAUAAACGGUUUCUUGCAUUCAUCUCGUGAAACUCGUAAUCAUUCUCUUGGGAUCCGCUAUUAUUCUGUGACUCCAAUUAGUGGUCGUGCUGGUCUCAUACAGUGGGUUGACAAUGUGAUAAGUAUAUACAGUGUCUUCAAGUCUUGGCAAAACCGUGUACAACUUGCACAGAUUGCAGCAUUGGGUGGUAGCAAUGCAAAAACUUCUGUUCCUCCACCUGUUCCACGGCCAAGUGAUAUGUUCUAUGGCAAAAUCAUACCAGCACUCAAAGAGAAAGGCAUAAGAAGAGUAAUUUCAAGAAGGGACUGGCCUCAUGAAGUCAAGCGUAAAGUUCUUCUGGAUCUUAUGAAAGAAACCCCUAGACAACUUCUUCAUCAAGAACUAUGGUGUGCUAGUGAAGGAUUCAAAGCCUUCAGCUCAAAACUGAAAAGGUAUUCUGGGAGUGUUGCAGCAAUGAGUAUGGUGGGCCACAUUCUCGGCUUGGGAGACAGACAUUUGGAUAAUAUUCUUGUAGAUUUCUGUAGUGGGGAUAUUGUACAUAUUGAUUACAAUGUUUGUUUUGACAAGGGACAAAGACUUAAAGUCCCAGAGAUUGUUCCCUUCCGUCUUACCCAGACCAUUGAAGCAGCACUAGGCUUGACUGGAGUAGAAGGUACCUUUAGGGCGAACUGUGAAGCAGUUAUUGGUGUUUUAAGGAAGAAUAAAGACAUACUGUUAAUGUUACUAGAAGUAUUUGUUUGGGAUCCACUAGUCGAAUGGACUCGGGGAGAUUUUCAUGAUGAUGCAGCAAUUGGUGGUGAAGAAAGAAAGGGUAUGGAGUUAGCUGUUAGCUUGAGUCUAUUUGCAUCUCGAGUGCAGGAAAUCCGUGUUCCCUUACAGGAACAUCAUGAUCUUUUAUUGUCUGCCCUACCAGCAAUUGAAUCUGCUCUUGAGAGGUUUGCUGAUGUUCUAAAUCAAUAUGAGCUUGCCUCUGCUGUCUUUUAUCAAGCUGACCAAGAGAGAUCUAGUCUGAUACUGCAUGAGACAUCUGCAAAGUCAAUUGUUGCUGAAGCAACUAGUAAUUCAGAGAAAGCUCGUGCUUCAUAUGAAAUUCAGUCCCGAGAAUUUGCACAAGCAAAGGCUAUGGUUGCUGAGAAAGCUCAAGAAGCAGCAACUUGGAUGGAGCAACAUGGAAGGAUAAUUGAUGCUUUACGAAGCAAUUUAUUUCCAGAAAUAAAUUCUCACAUAAAGUUGGGUGGUAUGCCAGAAGCCUUGUCUCUUACUUCUGCUGUUGUGGUGGCUGGAGUUCCACUGACUAUUGUUCCUGAGCCUACACAAGCACAAUGCCAUGAUAUAGAUAGGGAAGUUUCUGAGCUAGUUUCCGAAUUGGAUAUUGGAAUCUCAUCUGCGCUAACUGCACUUCAAGUAUAUUCUUUGGCUUUGCAAAGAAUUUUACCAUUAAAUUACCUUACCACCAGUGCAGUGCAUGGCUGGUCACAAGUUUUGCAACUAUCUGUCAGUGCCCUUUCCUCCGAUAUCCUUUCUCUUGCCAGGAGACAGGCUGCUGAACUUAUUGCUAAAAUACAUGGGGUUAAUCUUGAUUCUGUCAAACACAAUCAUGAUGAUCUUUGUAUUCAACUGGAGAAGUAUUCUCUGGAAAUAAAGAAGGUUGAAGAGGAAUGUACUGAGCUAGAGAACUCAAUUGGUUUUGAAACUGAAUCAAAAGCUAAGGAUCGUCUUCUGUCAUCAUUUACAAAAUACAUGCAAUUUGCUGGUUUUCUAAGGAAAGAAGAUACUAUUCCAUCCCUUCAACCAGGACAAACUAAAUAUGAUGGGAUAAAAAAUGCUAGAGCCCUAGAGGAUGUGGAUGAGAAGAGGGAUAAGGUAUUAUCUGUUUUGAAUGUAGCUGUUAGUUCCCUGUAUAGCAAGGUCAAGCAUCGGGUGCUUGACAUUUUCAGUAGUCCAACUCAAGGAGUAACUGUAGACAAUAGGUUGCAGUAUGAUUUUGAAACUAUUUUCUGUGAGUUUGAAGAACAAGUGGAAAAAUGUACACUGGUUGCUGGUUUUGUCAAUGAACUAUGGCAUUUGGUUGGUGUAACAAGUUCUGAUUUGGAUAAAGACCAUCCAGAAUAUUAUUAUGGAAAAAAUUGGGCUACCAUUUUUAAAACCAGUUUACUUUCCUGUAAGAGCUUGAUAGGGCAAAUGAUUGAAGCAGUUCUUCCACACAUAAUAAGAUCUGCUGUCUCAUUGAACUCAGGAGUCAUGGAUGCGUUCGGAUUAAUAUCACAAAUUCGGGGUUCUAUUGAUACAGCACUUGAACAAUUUGUGGAGGUUGAAAUGGAGAAAGCAUCCUUGGUCGAAUUGGAACAGAACUACUUUGUUAAGGUUGGUCUUAUCACCGAGCAGCAAUUGGCUCUUGAAGAAGCUGCUGUGAAGGGCAGGGAUCAUCUAUCUUGGGAGGAGGCAGAGGAGCUUGCCUCCCAAGAAGAAGCUUGUAGGGCACAGUUGGACCAACUUCAUCAAACUUGGAAUCAAAGGGAAAUCCGCACUUCUUCUCUCAUUAAGAGAGAAUCUGACAUAAAGAAUGCCUUGGUUUCUUCUGAACACCAUUUUCAAUCUGUCGUUGUUGAUGAAGAGGAAAGGGAGCUGCAUACAUUGGGAAGCAAGGCUUUAUUAGCAACAUUAGUUAAGCCAUUUACUGAACUGGAAUCAAUUGAUAGAGCAUUCUUUUUGGGAAGUUCUUUUGCUUGUAAUUCAAAUGAGAUUUCUAAAGUAGAAGAUAUGAUGAAUUCUGGGUAUCCAAUAUCUGAAUGUAUUUGGAAGUUUGGAAGCUUAUUAACUAGCCAUUCCUUUUUUGUUUGGAAAAUAGGUGUUAUUGAUUCUUUUCUUGAUUCUUGCAUACAUGAUGUAGCUUCAUCAGUGGAUAAAAACUUAGGGUUUGACCAGCUUUUUAAUGUGGUGAAGAGAAAGCUUGAGAGGCAACUUCAAGAGCAUAUUGGUCGGUACCUAAAAGAACGAAUUGUUCCUGCUUUUCUGGCUUGCUUAGAUAAAGAAAACGAACAUUUGAAGCAACUGACAGAAUCAACAAAGGAACUUGCUCUUGAUCAAGUUAAAAAAGAUGGUGGAGCUGUGUCAAGGGUUCAAUGUAUGCUCGAGGAAUACUGCAAUGCACAUGAAACUGCAAGAGCAGCAAGGUCAGCUGCUUCCGUUAUGAAAAGGCAGGUGAAUGAGCUUAGAGAGGCUCUGCACAAGACUGGCCUGGAGAUUGUUCAGAUGGAGUGGAUGCAUGAUGUCACCUUAACCCCAUCAUAUGAUGGCAGGGUCAUAUUUCACAAAUUUCUUCCUAGUGAUGAUAGUUUAUGUCCUGUUCUUUUAAACCUUAGCAGACCUAAAUUGCUAGAAGCUAUACAAUCUUCUGUGUCAAAGAUUGCCAGGUCUACAGAGUGCCUGCAAGCUUGUGACCGAACUUCUAUUACAGCAGAAGGGCAGCUUGAGAGAGCAAUGGGGUGGGCAUGCGGUGGCCCAAGUUCGAGUUCAACGACAAAUACUUCCAGUAAGUCUUCUGGAAUUCCACCUGAAUUCCAUGAACAUCUGAAAAGGAGAAGGAAACUGCUAUGGGAAACUAGAGAAAAAGCUUCAGAUGUUAUUAAAAUUUGCAUGUCAGUGUUGGAGUUUGAAGCAUCAAGAGAUGGUGUUUUUCGAAUUCCAGGAGAGAUCUAUCCUUUCAGAACAGGUGGUGAAGGAAGGACAUGGCAGCAAGCUUACUUGAACUUAUUAACAAGACUGGAUAUUACUUACCACUCCUUUACACGUACUGAACAGGAAUGGAAGCUUGCACAAAGCACCAUGGAGGGUGCUUCCAAUGGCUUAUAUUCUGCAACUAAUGAGCUUUGUAUUGCCUCUCUGAAAGCAAAGUCAGCUUCAGGUGAUUUACAAAGCACUGUUCUCACAAUGAGGGAUUGUGCGUAUGAAGCCAGUGUUGCAUUAUUGGCAUAUAGCGGUGUUUCAAAGAGCCAUACUGCUUUGACUUCUGAAUGUGGUUCCAUGCUUGAAGAGGUCCUUGCAAUAACUGAAGAUCUGCAUGAUGUUCAUGGUGUGGGAAAGGAGGCUGCUGCAUUACACCAUUCCCUUAUGGAAGAUCUUUCAAAGGCAAAUACAAUUCUUCUUCCCCUCGAAUCAUUGUUGUCUAAAGAUGUAGCUGCUAUGACUGAUGCUAUAGCAAGGGAAAAAGAAACCAAGAUGGAAAUUUCUCCCAUCCAUGGGCAAGCCAUAUACCAGUCUUAUAAUUUUAGAAUUAGGGAUGCUUGUUCGAAUAUGAAGCCUUUGGUACGCUCACUUACGAUGGCUGUGAAAGGACUCUAUUCUCUGUUGACCAGGCUUGCAAGAACUGCAAGCCUCCAUGCUGGCAAUCUUCAUAAAGCUCUUGAAGGACUAAAAGAAAGUCAGGAAGUAAAAUCACAAGGAAUUGAUGUGUCAAGGUCUGAUAUAGCUGUUGAUACUGCCGACUUUGAUGAUAAGGAGAGAGAGAAUCUAUCUGUAUCUAAUAGUGAAAGCACCAAAGAUUUUGCUGACAUUACUGAACUUCCUCUGGAAGAUAAUGGAUGGAUAUCUCCACCAGAUAGUGUCUGCAGUAGCAGCUCAGAAUCUGGCAUUACCUCACAGAAUGCAAGCUUUCCAGGUAGCUUCAAUGAUCCAUCUGAAGAAAGUGGGCAAGUUUCGAAGGAGCCCAGUAGCAUUGAAGCACCAGUUGAUCAAAACUCUGCUUCUAUAUCUGAAACUGGCUUUCAAGAAAUUUCACCUUCUGGGAAGUCUGAGUCUAAGAUCACAGAGGUUAAUAACAAUUGUGGGGUUUCUUUUGAGCCAGCAACUAACGAGCCUAAUGAAUAUCUGGGAGCUGUGGCCUCGCAAAGUGAUGAGUCGGUAACUGUUGCUCCAGAAACUUUGCAUCUUGUGAACAAGAACUCAGAGGAGGAGAGUGAGAGCAGAGGUGAAAUAUCUUCAUUAAAUAAGGUGAAAAUUCUACAUGGAGAUGAUCAUGAAGCUCAUGAUAUGCACGCUGGUGGUCGUGUUGGCAGGGGUAAAAAUCCUUAUGCAAUGUUGGUCUUAAGGCGAGUAGAGAUGAAACUAGAUGGUAGAGAUAUUGUUGACCACAGAGAAAUUAGUAUCUCAGAGCAGGUGGAAUAUCUACUAAAGCAGGCCACUAGCCUAGACAAUCUUUGCAACAUGUAUGAAGGUUGGACACCAUGGAUAUAAGCUGUGAACAGGCUACGGACUUCAGUCAUUUUGGUCAGAAACUCAGGCUUGUUUUCAGUAUGCCAUGCACAUUGGUCUUACAUUGUCCGAGAUGCAUGUUGAACAUAGUUACCACUUUUGUGAUAGGGCAUCAGACUUGAGGUUCACCCCUGUUAGCCUGCCUAGGGGAAGCCGCUUCAGCAUUUGAUUUUUUUUUCCUAAUACUCUUUUGGCUUUAUGAUCCCUUGUUCUUAUCACAAAAGGAGCUACGGCGGCAAUUGGUGAGAAACACGGUGCAAAUGUUUGAGCAGCUUUUAGAAGUGCUGCCCUCUAUCUGGCAUGUUUCCUACCUUAAAGGGCCAGCAGUUUUUCUGGCAGAAUAUAUUUCGAGCAUUUGCGAUGGGAAAACCCUAUGGACUGGAUUGAAUUUUCCCUCUCCUUUUCCCCUGCCAGAUGCAUUCAAGGAAACCAGACUCGUGGAUUGGCAAGUGAUCUCAUUUGCAGUAUUCGCAAUCCGCACAGCGAAUUCAAAGAACCCUUUGGAUCUGAAGCCGGAACCUGUUUCCAACACUAAGCGCGCUAAUUUGCAAUAUUCGCAAUUUGCACAUCAAAUUCAAAGCAGCCUCUUGGGUCUGAAGCUGGAACCUCUUUCCAACGCUAGUUGGGCAUACUUGACCAUACACUGUUUUGAGAUGCUUACAUCCAGAUGCGACAACUUUGGCAGAGUAUUGCCCUCGCAGAAAUGCUGGCGGAGGUUUUGAAAAUUCUCCUUUGAGACAAGCCUGCGGAUGGUUGAAAGACAGCAUGCAAAAUCAUGCUUUCUAGAGCAUUUGUGCCGGGAAACUUUCCUGGUUCUUGUGGGAGUCGAAAAGAAGGCUGUAACAACCGACCAAAAUGGCUAUUUGUUCCCAUCUAAAGCACAAAGAUAAAUAUAUAUAUAUAUAUAUAUAUAUAUAGGAAUCAUCUUAUAUAAACCCAACUAAUUUCGAUCCCAUCACAAAAGAAUCAAUACACCAUAAGGUCAUAGCAUUAAAUAUCUCAUAUCCCACGAAGAACUUGAAGAUAUUUUUGGUGAGAAAGAAUUUGAAGAUUUUUUUUUUUCUUUCUUUUUGGCUUUCACUUUUUUAUUUGUCAUUAUAUUUGUGAGAGUAGACUAGAUAUUUAUUUUCAGUCAUGUCAAAGCUGGUCGACAAGUGGAAGACUGAGAUGGCUAAGCUGCAGCAAAAGGGCCAAGCCCUUUUCUCCAGUGAGUCUGGUGAAUCUCUUCCUUCUAAUGCUGGGUGCAGUCAAGGGGCACGAACCAAAGAAGGGAACUCAAAUGGGUUGGCUUCAGCUUUUGGCCGAGUCAUGCGAGUCAACUAUUCUGAUGCUUCUGUUUUCAUGAUUGUUGAGUGCUUUAGUCCUUGAAGAACAUCAAACUUUUACGUAGCUACGGGAUAUCAACCUUUUUUUAGUGAAUUGUAAUAUGAACUUGUGUAGUUCUUUUAACAUGUUGAAUUAAAUCUUGUUCUGAAGUUGGAAA